UACGAAGGGUGCUAGCGUUGUUCGGAAUUACUGGGCGUAAAGCGUGCGCAGGCGGCUAGACAAGUCAGGGGUGAAAUCCUGGGGCUUAACCCCAGAAUUGCCUUUGAAACUGUCUGGCUAGAGACUCGGAGGGGAUAGCGGAAUUCCUAAUGUAGCGGUGAAAUGCGUAGAUAUCAGGAGGAACACCGAUGGCGAAGGCAGGUCUCUGGGCUGACACUGACGCUCAUGCACGAAAGCGUGGGGAGCAAACAGG
rnacentral:rRNA from 1 species